rnacentral:rRNA from 1 species
GCUGGCGGCAGGCCUAACACAUGCAAGUCGAGCGGAUGACGGGAGCUUGCUCCUGGAUUCAGCGGCGGACGGGUGAGUAAUGCCUAGGAAUCUGCCUGGUAGUGGGGGACAACGUUUCGAAAGGAACGCUAAUACCGCAUACGUCCUACGGGAGAAAGCAGGGGACCUUCGGGCCUUGCGCUAUCAGAUGAGCCUAGGUCGGAUUAGCUAGUUGGUGGGGUAAUGGCUCACCAAGGCGACGAUCCGUAACUGGUCUGAGAGGAUGAUCAGUCACACUGGAACUGAGACACGGUCCAGACUCCUACGGGAGGCAGCAGUGGGGAAUAUUGGACAAUGGGCGAAAGCCUGAUCCAGCCAUGCCGCGUGUGUGAAGAAGGUCUUCGGAUUGUAAAGCACUUUAAGUUGGGAGGAAGGGCAGUAAGCGAAUACCUUGCUGUUUUGACGUUACCGACAGAAUAAGCACCGGCUAACUCUGUGCCAGCAGCCGCGGUAAUACAGAGGGUGCAAGCGUUAAUCGGAAUUACUGGGCGUAAAGCGCGCGUAGGUGGUUCGUUAAGUUGGAUGUGAAAGCCCCGGGCUCAACCUGGGAACUGCAUCCAAAACUGGCGAGCUAGAGUAUGGUAGAGGGUGGUGGAAUUUCCUGUGUAGCGGUGAAAUGCGUAGAUAUAGGAAGGAACACCAGUGGCGAAGGCGACCACCUGGACUGAUACUGACACUGAGGUGCGAAAGCGUGGGGAGCCAACAGGAUUA